AUACUUACCUAGCAGGAGAGAUACAAAGAUCAUGAAGGUGGUUUUUCCCAGGGUGAGGUCUACCCAUUGUACUCUGGAUGUGCGAUUUCUCUGAAUAUGGGAAAAUCUCCUGCCUAAUUUGUGGUAGUGGGUAACUGCAUUUGUGUUCUCCCAAU
ensembl:snRNA U1 U1 spliceosomal RNA